ensembl:lncRNA
AUAAUUAUCAGAUGUGCUCUUCCUCUCCGCCUCACUUCUCCUCCUGCAGGAAAACAGGAAGGCAGGAUUAGAGCGACGCGCUGCGCUGAGAUCCGGAGAGGCCCGUGUGUUGACAGUGGAAACAAGCCGGGGGAACAAACGCCAGAAGGGAUCCGAGGAUCUGAUUGCAUCGCCUGGAGCCUCCUACUCAUCUCGGGCCACAGCGAGUGGUUCCCGAGGCAGAGGAGGAGGAGGAGGACGGACGUACAAAGAGCUCGGAGUCUCGCCAAUGUGCAAGUGCGCCCGAGGUUUCUUUAAAUAUGCGUGCUGGAAUGUCACCACAGCGAGAGCGAUUUGGCUUUUAUGAGGAAGCGUGGUUUGAUUUCCUUCCAAAUGAAAGCUGGAAGGAGGGAUGAACUGAGGGUGGUCUUGUGCCGGAGAGAAAGUGAUGCAUUUUAACUGCGUUGAAUGUUUGUGAUAAACUGAGGGAUGAAGCGUGUUGUUAAGAUUAAUUCUACUACAUAAAUAAUAAGAUAAAUUAACUGCUCACGUCGUCUGAGAUCGACAUUAAUCAGGCUGAUUCUGCAGCCUUUGCGAUUAAAGGGCUCCAAGCUCUAUUUUCUGAAGCUGUAAUACUCACUAAACAAAAGUAUGUGAUUCAUGCUGUGAAAAUACAGUUUACUCCAGUUGUUUUCUUUCUUUUUUUUCAAGGAAAAUAGACAAUUCCGA